GGAUAUGUUUGUUGGGUUUGUAGAGUAAAC
rnacentral:piRNA from 1 species